rnacentral:lncRNA from 1 species
GCGCGCGGAGGCAGCACGGAAGGGGCGCUGGCCUCCGAAAGGGUUUCUGUACCGUUCGGUGUCGGGUGCCGCCACUGACUCGGCUCCCGGGGCCCGAAUUCCUUCUAGGGCGGUUGCAUCGAAUACAGAACGGCUGGGAUCGGUUCUCGCCUUCCCUGCCCCUGCUGUUCCUGUAGCGGGGACUGGGGCUGGGUGAGGGGCGGUUCCAGGGCGGGGACUGCGAAGUUGGGCGGGUACGAGUCAGUACCCCUCCCCCUUCCCAGCGCGUCUCAGAAAGUGCGCGACCGGGGAAGGAUGCGGGGUGCUUACCCGGGAGGCGGGUGGCUUCCCGCGCAGCGCGAGCGGCUACGGCUCGCGAGCCGCCUCCGCCCAACUUUCUCCCUCGGCUUUCCUAGUUUAUUUUCUUUCAGGCGCCCUAAUGGGCGGUUUUGACUUCUUGGUGGCACUGCGUAAUAAGCCAGUGUCACCCCUCUGACUCCCGUCCCCGCACGCGUGAUCUUGUUAAGGAAUUAGUCCUUUUGCGCGGAGUUCGGUUGAAUGAGAAGAAUAGGUUGGCAGCACAGACUUGUGAGAGGAAGUAGAUGAAAAAGAGUCUUUGGCACUUGUUUAGCCGGAAUCUGAGAAUAAUUUUGGAAAGUAUUCUCUGGAACAAGGGGGUGGGCAGAAGCUGGCUCCUGUAAAAGGACUCCCUACAGGAAAACGGAGACCUGUAAUGUAGAACGACCGCCUCGCCUUACGGAUGGGAAGCUGAGGACAGUCGUCGCUGUAAAACUUUGACAGGUGCCCAAUAUGAGAUGAAAAGAACAAGGGAAACGGGCCUAAGUCGUGUGAUAAGGGGCUCCAGGAAAGAAGCACCCCUCUGAAACUGGCCAGUAAGUCGUGUGAGACAGUGAUGGAGAAGACAGUAUGAGAAACAUGAAAGUUUUCGUUGUCUAAAAGAUCUGACAAUCUGGAUCCUCAAUGUGUAUGAAGCAUCAAAGUCAGAAGCAGCAGGCAAAUUCCAUUCCAGCCUUGACAAGGCAAGAGGAGAGGCAAUAUGCACACGAGGUGGUGGAACUUUCCUGGACCCUCCCAGGAAGGAAGCUAUCCCAGCCUCCACGGUGCUUUUCCUGCUUCCAGUGGUCGAGGCUGAAUCAUCAGGCGCCUGGUUGGCGUCUUCUCUGUAUUUGUCCGGCUGUGCAGAAAAUGUUUUAGAAGAAUCCUUUUCAGCAAGUUCAGCUUUGAUGUUACUAUCUUUUCCAUCUCUAAUAUCUACUAUUCGGUGGUAAGCUCUUGUCGUGUUUUGGUAUGAGUGUCUGUUGGUACAGGUCAGCACAUGUUCGUCUAGUAACUUUUCACAGCUGAAGCCAAAUCCACAACUAUCACAGGUAAAGCUCCGUCCAAAGCGUCGAGACACACGUUCUUUUGGAGUAGAUAAUUUGGACACAGAACUUUUUUUACACACAUCAAACAGCGGCUCGGGGAAGUUGGCCAACUGCAAAGACUCUUCCUCAGGUUCUCUGUGAUGCGGCGUAUUCACCGUUGAACUGGGCUCCGCACACCACCUGUUGGCUUCAUUGCCAUUUCUAGCCACCGUGUCUUCAUACAUUCUCACCCCAAAAAUCAUCUUGCUGCUCUGCCUGCUGGAGGCAGAAGACGAACACUUUGAACUAGAACAGUCUGCGUCCUGUAUGUCUUCCAAGCAGUCAGGAACAUUGUACAGCUGGAGGUAGUUCAUUGCCACUUUGAACUGCUCGAAACUGGAAGGAGCGGUCAUGAUCUUUCCUAAAUACAUGAACUGCAAAAUGAGAUCAAAGCACUCAGCACUUAUCUUCAUGUUGCUGAGGUUCAGUUGUGCAGUACUGUGCUGAUGGUUCAUGAAAAACAUCCUAAAGUAGGAGCUACAGGCAGCCAGGACGGCUUUGUGUGCUUGGAAGUAGAUGUCGUCGAUAGCGAUACAGCAGUCACAGAGAAAGCCCCACUCUCUUUGGUUGUUGAGCUGCUGCAGGACAUAGCUGCUGUGGCUGGGCUUUGCCAUCUUCUGCUGACUCGACCUAUGCAAAACAAAACGUAACGGUCAGGCGGCAGGAAGGCACUUCAAAAGGGACCCUUGAGCAUGACUUUCACUUGUGUACCUUUGCUAUGACAAUCAAAGCAUGGUUUUCUACUAAGUCUGAAGAUGAAAAUACCUAGUCAUUUAUUCAAUUUUCUCAUACUGAACAAAAAAGGAAUCAGAAGCAAAAUCCGUAAUUUUUUUUUAAAAUUAAAAACAAAUCUAAACCCAA